rnacentral:rRNA from 1 species
AUUGAACGCUGGCGGCAGGCCUAACACAUGCAAGUCGGACGAGUGGCGGACGGGUGAGUAAUGUCUGGGAAACUGCCCGAUGGAGGGGGAUAACUACUGGAAACGGUAGCUAAUACCGCAUACCAUCCGAUGAGCCCAUAUGGGAUUAGCUGGUAGGUGAGGUAACGGCGCACCUAGGCGACGAUCCCUAGCAGGUCUGAGAGGAUGAUCAGCCACACUGGAAUUGGGACACGGACCAGACUCCUACGGGAGGCAGCAGUGGGGAAUAUUGCACAAUGGGCGCAAGCCUGAUGCAGCCAUGCCGCGUGUAUGAAGAAGGCCUGCGGGUUGUAAAGUACUUUCAGCGGGGAGGCGUUACCCGCAGAAGAAGCACCGGCUAACUCCGUGCCAGCAGCCGCGGUAAUAC